CCUCGACGCAUCAGACAAACUUUACCUUCGCGGGCAUUUUGAUCCACUUCAUCUCGGAAAGUUGUUAUUCGGAGAAUAAAAGGUUGCAGAAUAACAGCUAAUAUAAAUGGAUCAUUCUAUUCAAGAGAAAGUCAACUGGAACGUGGAUGUUUUCAUAACAGUCUUAAAGAUGAACAAAUUGAUAAAGAAACCCUCCUGCUGAACAUCCACUUCCAAAAGUGCACGCCACACUGUUGUCUAUAACUCCCAGGAAAAGAAUCCUCUUUAGUAAGACUGCUCCGUGGAUAUGUCAGGUUAAGCAGUACUGGAACUGAAAGAACUAACACUCUUUAAAAUGUUUUGUGAGUUUAUAUGAAGAGGAAAGUUCCGGUGUCCCUUUUUCACAUCCAUAACGCUUGUUUAUUUCUUUUUUUAUAGAAAACUUGUGCAUAGACUGAUAUUUUAUCAUCUAAAUUCGGUUCUAUCAACAAGGGUUUAGUAAAAUACUUUUUAUAGUGUUUUUAUGUCGCAUCCAUAACGCUGGAAUUGCCCUAAAGCAUUUUACUCGUGCCACUUUGUUAACUGUAUAUGAAUUUUUGAAGUGUUAAGUUGUCUAACUAUUUAUAUUUACUUUAAUAACCUUGUUUAAUGUAUAUGUUAAAAUCUAAACUAAUGUAAUUUAUUGAUGUUAAUUUUCCUUAAAUAUGUAUAAACAUACAUUUCAUCAAAGUGUUUUAUAUGCCAUUUUAUUGUUCAUUGAGCAUAACAUAUUGCAUGUUUUUAUGAAUUCCUUUUGUCUUGCAUUUUGAUCCUUAAUAAAACUUUUGAUUCUUACUGAUGCCUCGAGUAUUUCUCUGUGAUUUUGUUAUUAUUAUUUUUAAACAUUUCGGGUUUGUUUUAAACCAGCAAUGUAAUUUUUAAGCAAAAGUUGAUUUAAAUAAAACAACCCAGCAUGUUGGGUCAAAGAUAUAACCCAACUGGCUGGGUUAAAAUAACCCAACGCUGGGUUUGUCCAUA